AGAGUUUGAUCCUGGCUCAGGAUGAGCGCUGGCGGCGUGCCUAAUACAUGCAAGUCGAGCGGUAAGGCUCCUUCGGGAGUACACGAGCGGCGGACGGCUGAGUAACACGUAGGAACGUACCCCAAAGUGAGGGAUAACUGCUCGAAAGAGUAGCUAAUACCGCAUGUGAUCCACGGAUUAAAGCUUUAUGUGCUUUGGGAACGGCCUGCGUCCGAUUAGCUUGUUGGCGGGGUAAAAGCCCACCAAGGCGACGAUCGGUAGCUGGUCUGAGAGGAUGAUCAGCCAGACUGGGACUGAGACACGGCCCAGACUCCUACGGGAGGCAGCAGUAGGGAAUUUUCCACAAUGGGCGAAAGCCUGAUGGAGCAACGCCGCGUGCAGGAUGAAGGCCUUCGGGUUGUAAACUGCUUUUGUUGGUGACGAUUAUGACGGUAACCAACGAAUAAGGGUCUGCUAACUACGUGCCAGCAGCCGCGGUCAUACGUAGGACCCAAGCGUUAUCCGGAAUUACUGGGCGUAAAGAGUUGAGUAGGUGGCAUGGUAAGUAGAUAGUGAAAGCGUGUGGCUCAACCAUACAUCCAUUAUCUAAACUGCCAAGCUAGAGGAUGAGAGAGGUAGAUGGAAUUCCUAAUGGAGGGGUAAUAUCCGUAGAUAUUAGGAGGAACACCGAUGGCGUAAGCAGUCUACUGGCUCAUUCCUGACACUAAGUCACGAAAGCGUGGGUAGCAAACAGGAUUAGAUACCCUGGUAGUCC
rnacentral:rRNA from 1 species